UGGAGAGAGCAUCCUUGCUAUUGCCGGAGAUUGAGAGUAAGCAUCAGGCUGCUCGGUUGCAGGUGGAUCCUAGUAGUAUCGAGCCUCUUGUCACGCGCACUCCUAACGUAAACUAGAUGAUACAUCCUGCCUGGGUUCAACGUUUGAAGUGGUCUGGGCUUUUACCUUUCGCACGACUAGUUGAGGCAACUCGUGCGGAAAUGGUGGAGGGCGAGCGACAAGGCACCAACUCUACACGGCUACAAAUGGACCACUUGUUGUUGAGCUACUUAGUGGACAGAUAGAGGCCCGAGACACACACGUUUCACUUUCGCUGGGGAGAGAUGGCUCCUACUCUGCAGGAUGUGUCGAUGCUGUUGGGACUACCAUUGGCGGGUGAUCCCAUAGGGCCGUUGCAGGCACCAGUUGAUUGACAGGAGGGUAUGUCACUACAUUUUCAGGGUAUUCUUGAUGGAGCUGGACCUUUCACCUCGGAGGCUCACGGACCUAAGCUAGAUUAGUUACUCAACUACCAGAUUCAGAGGUUUGGGUGUCCAGAGACCGAGAUGACUCAGCCUCAGAUCACUCAAAGCCUUGAGGCAUAUAUAAUGUGGCUUCUCGGGAAGUGGAUGUUUACGGAGAACCACGUCACCACCAUUACCGCGCGCUUCAUCCCUAUUGCAAUGGAGAUCGCGAAUGCAACUUGCGCU